AUUGAACGCUGGCGGCAUGCCUUACACAUGCAAGUCGAACGGCAGCACGGGAGCAAUCCUGGUGGCGAGUGGCGAACGGGUGAGUAAUGUAUCGGAACGUGCCCAGUCGUGGGGGAUAACGUAGCGAAAGCUACGCUAAUACCGCAUACGAUCUAUGGAUGAAAGCGGGGGAUCGCAAGACCUCGCGCGAUUGGAGCGGCCGAUAUCAGAUUAGGUAGUUGGUGGGGUAAAGGCCCACCAAGCCAACGAUCUGUAGCUGGUCUGAGAGGACGACCAGCCACACUGGGACUGAGACACGGCCCAGACUCCUACGGGAGGCAGCAGUGGGGAAUUUUGGACAAUGGGCGCAAGCCUGAUCCAGCAAUGCCGCGUGCAGGAUGAAGGCCUUCGGGUUGUAAACUGCUUUUGUACGGAGCGAAAAGGCUCCCUCUAAUACAGGGGGCUCAUGACGGUACCGUAAGAAUAAGCACCGGCUAACUACGCGCCAGCCGCCGCAGUAAGAC
rnacentral:rRNA from 1 species